rnacentral:rRNA from 1 species
CGUAAAUUACCCAAUUCUAAAUCAGAGAGGUAGUGACAAGAAAUAACAAUAUAAGGCCAAAUUUUGGUUUUAUAAUUGGAAUGAUGGGAACUUAAAAUCUUCCCAAAAAUCAAUUGGAGGGCAAGUCUGGUGCCAGCAGCCGCGGUAAUUCCAGCUCCAAUAGCGUAUAUUAAAAUUGUUGCAGUUAAAACGCUCGUAGUUAAAUUUCAAAGGACUAUAAAUAUUGUAAGUCGUGCUUGGUGAGAUUCAUCGUGACUUUGUCAUUGUACUCUGCCUUGUCGUCCUUUUAAUUAUAGAUUCCUUUGAGAGCCCAAUGAGUCAUCGCUGGGCUCUCGUUACUUUGAGUAAAUUAGAGUGUUUAAAGCAAAUAUAUAAUUAGUAUAAUUACUGUGUUUGAAUACUAUAGCAUGGAAUAACAACAUUGAAUAGGUCAAAAAUUUUUGAAAAAUUUUUCUUGUUUUGGCUUAGAUACAGUUAAUAGGAGUAGAUUGGAGGCAUUUGUAUUCAGAUGCUAGAGGUGAAAUUCUUAGAUUUUCUGGAGACAAACAACUGCGAAAGCAUUUGCCUAAAAUACUUCCAUUAAUCAAGAACGAAAGUUAAGGGAGUGAAGACGAUCAGAUACCGUCGUAAUCUUAACCAUAAACUAUGCCGACUAAGUGUUGGAUGAAAA